GGACUACUAGGGUUUCUAAUCCCGUUCGCUCCCCUAGCUUUCGCGCCUCAGCGUCAGAAGAGGUCCAGCACGCCGCUUUCGCCACCGGCGUUCCUUCCGAUAUCAACGCAUUUCACCGCUCCACCGGAAGUUCCGCAUGCCCCUACCUCCCUCCAGGUCUCCAGUAUCCAAGGCACUUUUCCGGUUAAGCCGAAAGAUUUCACCCCGGACUUGAAGACCCGCCUACGCGCCCUUUAAGCCCAGUGAUUCCGAACAACGUUUGCACGGUUCGUCUUACCGCGGCUGCUGGCAC
rnacentral:rRNA from 1 species